rnacentral:lncRNA from 1 species
GGGCAAAGGCACCAGGGCCAUUGGGCAAGGUCUGGAGACAAUUUUCAAUUUUCGCAACUGGAAGUGCUACUGACAUCUGGUGAGUGGAGGCCGGGGAUGCUGCUAAACAUCCUACAGUGAGCAGGACAGCCCCCCCAACAAUGAAGUAACCAGUCCCAAAUGUCAAUAGUGCCGAAGGUAAGAAACCUAGCACUUGAGUGAUAGUGACAACUCUGUGCGAGGACAAAAUAAGUGGGAGGAAAAACCGUAAGACACCUGACCUCUCCUCGGCCACAGUCUGGAAAAUGAUUCAUUUGGGUGGGAAAGGAGAUGGUGGAUGGUAGAAGCAAGGUGAACAGAGGUAGCCUUGGGGUCCCAAAGAGAAAUGUAGUCCCUCCACCUUCAUUCUGUGCCUCCCAGGUUGGGGCCUCAGGGAGACAGAGGAUGGCUAUGUAUUCUGUAUAGGCAGAUGGGACUAUAAAGAAAUGAUGAUUCCUAUCCUGUGCGGGCUGAUGACUGAAGACCAGAAGAGAUGAUGGAUAUCUUAGCAUAGACACCUGUACUUCAUACUUUUUUCAUGCCCCGGGAGCAUAGAUACACCCCUGGAAAAAAGGGGUAGCUCACACUGACCAGCCAGGUAGGGGAGACUGAACAAUGGAAUAAAUUUGAAUUUUUUUUUUUUUUUUUGUAAGUGUAAAACUUGCACAUCACACACUGUGGCCUGGGGCUAGUAUGUGCUGUACGUGGAAGUUCUAUCCUGAAUUACUCAAACAGAUUGUAAAUAUAUUUACAUAAGUCUAUCUCGACUAAUUCAAUUAAAAGCAAUACUCCUUUUUGUUUGAUUGCAUUGAAUUAGAACAGGUUAUUACUAAACUUUCAACAUGAUAUCAGUGUUUGAUUCUGUAAUUCCCACCCCUUCUAUUACCAAGAGUACUUUAGAAUUUUGCUCUUUGUUUAUGUAUCAGGCCCAGUGACACAACUGAGGACAGUUUGGUAGGUUUAAAACCAGGACUAAGUUAGAAUAAACUAGCUGGUGGUCCAAACCCAUCUCAAAUGUUCAAUUGCUAUAAUCUUAAGGAGAAUUUAGUUUCUAAAAAAAAAAAUAUAUCUGGUGCAAAAGGGAUAGUUUUGGGGUAUUUGAUCUGGCUCAUCUUUAAAAAAAAAAAAAAAAGGAAAGAGACACACGAAUAUGUAUCACAGUUCUAUUGAUUUGAAUCCCCACCCAGAAACCUAGAAAAUUCACCCAACCAUUCAUCAAGAAUUCUGGACACCAUUAUCAAAGGAAAAGGACAUGUGUUGGCAGAGGACUCACCAUCAUCUGCUGCCAGCCCCGGCAACAAUCUAAUGUUUGCAUACCGACCCGAAGCCAGAGGAAGGCUUUGUUCCUAAAGGACAUCCACUACAUUGUCCCCUCUGGUGCAAGCUGCUCUUCUCCUCCUUCCAGUGGCCAAUCAAUUUAUUUGCUUUCUCCAGAUCAUUUGGUGUCCUUAUCUCUCAUCAGAGACUCGAUGUUACAAAGAACCUGGAAAUUCUCUUCCUCAGGGAAAGCAGUUAUUUAUUAGGCAACCCUUAAUAUUCUACUCAUCUGCCAUGGUGGCGUGUUGACCUGGAGGUAACUGACACUGACACCCACUCUACUUUCCUUCCAACAAACCUACAUCUGGAUUGGAUAUCCAUCCCCAGAGCAUCACCGCUUGGAGCAAACUCUUCAUUUACGUUGAUAAUGCCUCCAUUUACUUCUUGAGACUCUGGGACACAUUAUACAAAUUGAAUAAAUAAACACAUUACCCUGACAUAAAGUCAUGUCAUGGAGUCCAAAAAUAACAAGUUCAGUCAGAGCUCAAAGCAACAUAAAAGCAUUUCUAACGUACAAGUCAAUCUCCUCUCCACUGAUUAUAUUUUGUCUUCCUACACAAUCUGGAAUUACUGGAAAUAUGCCAUUUUUUCUUCCUGUAUUGGGUUAUCUAGAAGUUGCUUUACUGUUUAUUCUGGAACCUCAUUCCUAUUUUUGACAUGUAGAAGGGAAAGAGAUUAAAGUGAUUCCAGAUCUGCGCAGAACUUUCUCUAGCAUUACCCUUGACCCUUACUGAAAUCUUCUACCCAAUCAGGAGUCACCAUUAUUUUAUAAAAGUGAUAUCAUUGUAAAAUGUCAUUUGUAAAGGAAGAGAAAUUUAGGAGGGACUUAAAUAGAUGAUCAGGAGAAAUGCCAUGGCUUAAAAGAAGAGAUAUGUUCAACAGAGGCUUCACAAUUAUCUCCAUGUUUAUGAAAGUUUAUUACAAUUAAGACACUUAUAUUAUCCUUCUUCUAUGAAGAAAACACCUGGGGGAUGGGAGAAAGCCAAAUUUAUCAGUAAGGGAAAACAAUACUGUAGUAAAGAUUGUAGGCAGCUUGAUGCCAUGGAAGAAUAGGAAACAGAACCAUCUGGGGAGGUAUGUCUUCUCUGACAGGUUUCAAGAUGACUCCCUUCUUGGUAGUUGACACUUUUCUGGGUCAUUGAGUAAGAAAGAUCCCCUGAAUGGAACUUCCUUGUUCACUAGCCUUCAGGCCCCAUUAGAGGUGGGCAUUUAGAGAGGGUGUCCUUUUUGGACCUUCACAGCUUUUGUAGCCUGCCUCUUGCUGGUACUGGUUUAAGGGCAAGCAAAUGCUUUGGGGAUUGAACAGAAUUUUGAGUCUUUAGCAAUCUAAUUUCUUCAAAAAUCUAAUGGGCUUCCAGUUUAUUUGCUUCUGGUCAGUUGUAUGUAGUUGUAUGUGUUAAUAGCCACAGACAGAAGUCUUGUAGAGUCAGAGUUUUAAGACCAAAGACACACAGGUCUUUUACUUAUCGACUCUGGGCUCUGCCCAUCCCCCUUCUCUCAUGUUUCAGGCUGGCUCUCUUAAAGCCUUUUGAAACAAAGAACUGGGUGGGAGACAACACUCUUCAUCUGAUCUUUGCCACUGAGCUGGCUCUCAUUGUCUGGCAGAGACCGCUUAACUGCAGGUGCUUGGGAAAGACUCAGAGACACCAUCUUAUCUUCUGCCAAGUCUGCCCUAUUUGCAGCCUUAGCUUAGAACUGCUUCAGUCUGGGGUACAAUAGCAAUUAGUUUUUUCAGCCCCAUAAAGCCCAAACUGCUGACUGUUUAGUACAGCAGUUAGGAACUUAAACUUUGAAUCCAGAUGGCGUACUUCAAUUAGGGUCCUCACUUGUAAGGUGUGCAACUGGCAAGUUACUUAACUUCUUCGGAUCUCAUUUGUAAAAUGGGUCUAAAACCACUAUGGACUUCAUUGUUGGAGGCUUGAUUUACUUAGAAUAUAUAAAGCACUUGAAUGGUGCCUGGCACACCGUAGGCACCAUGUAUGGGUAGUUAGUAUUACUUACUAAUUUAAGAUUGCUUAAAUUAGUUGAUGCUUGGUCAACUUGUAUUGCAGGAUGCUGUUGGCUACCAGACUGACUAGCUCACACCUCAGUUUACUUCUUUUGUAGACUUUGCUGAAGAAGCGAGCAGUAGCAAAUAUAAGAUAAUGUAUUGAAUCUUUCCUAUAAUUUCCCCUAAUGCUACAGCAAUAGCAAUCACUCUGCUUUCCAAGACGUCAUAGUAAUUGUUUCAUCAAAUGUGUUGCCACAGCAUAACAAGAGCUUUUUUGGCUGUCUCAGCCAUUAGUAUCUACAUUUUAGGUUUUGUCGUGGCCAACACUCUACUUUGAGACAUCAAGUCCUGGUUUCAUUAGGAUUUAUAUUUGUCUGCUCCUCAUAGAGAUCUUAAAUGCCUAAAGCAUAAACACACAAAAUCUUCAUUUCUUUUUGCAUUAAAGUCUGGAUUGAGGUGAUUCAGGGAUGGUAUGGCGAUUCCACAGUCAGAUCUGUAGCACCUGUUGCGUCCUGUGUUCCAUGCCGCCAUCGCUGCAGUGCUUCCUUAUCCUCACCAUUCAAGACGAGUAGCCAGCCCUCACACCCAUCUCCAAGCAGCAAAAGGGAAGACGGAGGAUAUGUUCUGGAAGUUGAAUGUACAUAUCCAGAACUUGUCACAGGGCCACACCCAGCAAGGGAGAUUAGAACACGUGGUGGUGCCUCUAGUGUCAGUAUGUCAAGCCCCAAAUCAGGGUUUGUAUUAUCACAGGAAAGAAUGAGAACAAACCCUGUGGAGACAAACAGAAGCCUCUGCCAUAUUUACUGAAAAAAUUUGUUUAUCUAGCUUAACACAUUGUCUAUUUAAAAAAAAAAACAAACGCACAGCAAUGUGACCUGUUCAUUUAAUUUCUCUUUACUCCCUACUAUAAGAAAAUGUAAAAACAGUGGGUAAUUACAUAUUCAAUAAGAAAGUAAAACCCAAUAGCUUGUAUCAAAUGACAAUUCUACCCUGGAAUAGCUUAUGCUUUUCCCUUAAGAGAUAAUUGCAUUUCCUAAAAUUGGAAUUAACUUGCAUUUGUAUUUUUUGCAAAUAAGUACCAAACUACUUGCAUGUUUGUGUAACAUAGGGUUGGUAGAGGUUUUAUUUACAGAAAUAAAACACCUAUUUUAGCCCCUAUAUGUUUCCCAAACUUGCAUACAGCAAAAUUAUAUUUUAGAAGGUUUAAUGACCAAAAUAUAUGGGUUGAAAUGAAAGACAGGAUAUCCUACUCUAUAUGAGCAUUUAGAGGGACUGAGAAAGACUGAACAUCUUCCAUUAAUUUUUGUUUACUUUUUCUCUUUCAGUUUAUCUUCAUGAGGCAAAGAGAUAAUUGAAAGAGCAAAAAAACAAUGUUUGGGGUUUUAUAACUGCCACAAAACUUCAAAUUUAAAAAAAAAUGACAAUGAGCUAAAGAAAAAUAAGCAAUAUAUAAAUGGCUUUUCUUUCUUCAUUAACCAACAUUUCUGUAUCUGAGCCUAAGCUUUUUUUUUUUCUUUCUUUCUUUUUUGGUUGGUUGGUUUUGUUUGGUUUUGUUUUGGGUGAUGUUCAGCAUUUUGUGUCCUGAUAGGAAUUUUAAUGAAUGUAAAACAAAAGCACUGGUACCAAGCUGAGCCCAGUGGAUGAAUCAGGUAGGCGUGUGUAUUCACAGCACUGAUUACUGACAAUUUUCUUGUGCCAUUGUGGUCCAAAUGUCGGUCAAUCAGACAUGUCACCAGAGAGGCAUAUUUUUUAAAAGAUCCUGGACAUUUAAAAGAAUAUGGAUAUUGCAGGGAUGGAAUUGAAACAAAAUUAACAAGCCCACUAAGCAAUUCCGAAACAUUCUGCAGAAUUCCUGCCUGAGAAAGCAUCUGCUUUGGACAGUAAAUUUUAGACACACCACUGGAGAUAAAAUGCUUCCCUGAAGCCAUGAGGCAUUAACCAUUUCCUUUUGCAGUCAAUCCAGUUCAUAAAUAGAGUAACAGCUACUUUAUUUGUCCCCUUCAUCUUUAGAAUUCUAAUGUGGGCAACAGGUAUCCAGAGUUUAUCAGUGUAACACACUUUACAACAACAAAAAAAGAAUUCCUGUAAGUUCCCACAGGGCAGAAAAGAGACAUGAUCCAUUUGGACUGCUUGAUAUUUAUGUCCUACUUAACCUUGCCCAGAAAGGAUUCAAGGCAAUUUACUUAAACUUUUGGUUUAACUCACAGCCCCUACCCCCAUCUUAAGGGGACUUCGAUAUUUGAGUAACUUUUUCCAGGUCUCAUUUUUGCAGUCGAAAACUGGGAUAAAACCUCCUUAGCCUAUGCUUUACAAUUCUUCAAAGGUUCAGGGGCGACUGGGUGGCUCAGUCGGUUAAGCGUCCAACUUCGGCUCAGGUCAUGAUCUCACGGUUCAUGGGAUUGAGCCUUGCGUCGGGCUCUGUGCUGACAGCUUGGAACCUGGAGCCUGCUUCGGAUUCUGUGUCUCCCUCUCUCUCUGUUCCUCCUCUGCUCUCACACUGUCUCUCUCUCUCUCUCUCUCUCUCUCUCUCUCUCAAAAAUAAAGAUUAAAAAAAAAUUUAAAUUCUUCAAAGGUUCAGUUAAGUGUCAGAUUCUUAAUUUUGGCUCAGGUCAUGAUCUCACGAUUUGUGAGUUCAAGCCCUGCUUCAGGCUCUGUGCUGGCAGCACAGGGGGAGCCUGCCUGGGAUUCUGUCUCCCUCUCUCUCUGCCUCUCCCCCACUUGCUCUCUAUCUCUCUUUCCAAAUAACAAUAAUAUUAAAAAAAAUUCUUCAAAGUUUCUCCAGCAUCCACAGUCGAGGUCUUUAACAUGGCAUACAACCCUUUUGGGCCCUCGCCUCUUUCUGUCACCAAAGUUUCACAUUUGCCCAGAUGGCAUAUGACUUAGCCAGACACAAUUUAAUUAAACUACUUUGAAAGACAUUUUAAUGGAAAGAAAGCACAUCCACAUGAAAAUAAAGUGUAGGGGUGCCUGGGUGGCUCAGUCGGUUUGGCGUCUGACUUCGGCUCAGGUCAUGAUCUUGCGGUUCAUGAGUUCAAGCCCCUAGUCAGGCUCUGUGCUGACAGCUCAGAGCCUGGGGCCUGCUUAGGAUUCUGUGUCUUCUUCUUUCUCUGCCCCUCCCCGACUCAUACUCUGUCUCUUUCUCUCUCUCUCUCAAAAAUAAAUAAAAACAUUAAAAGAAACAAUAAGAAAAGGAAAAUAAAGUUUAAAUGAUGAACAAAUGGGCUUUUUAAGGUAUUGGCUAAUUGUGCAUUGUUUUGCUACUCUUGGUGUGUACAAAGUAUUUGUGUCAAUUCUUGGAACCAUUAGUGCUUUUUAAUUUAUAAUUCAUUUUGUCUUACACUGCCGUACAGCAAAAAUUUGUAAUAGCAUACAUGUCUGUCAAAUGGUAGUUUGCUGAAAUUAAUUAUAGUAGGUUCUAACGUAGCACACAUUGUAUCAUCCAAUUUUACCAAAAAAUAGUAGUAUGUAAUAUAUAGAAAUCAUAUAAAAGGAUAUGGAAAUAUUCUGCAAGAUAUUAAUAGCAGUUAUCUUUGAAUAGGUGGGAUUAUUGUAUGCUUUGUGUUUAUGCUAUUGUUUUGUUUUCUGCAAUAAUAAUUCAUUGCUUUUUUUUAAUAAGAAAAAAUUAAGAAAAAAUACAAUAAUGAAAGAAGCUACCUUUGAAUGAGUGUGAGCUUAGUGUAUUCUAGGCACUGUGGCAAUUUUUUUUUAUUGUCUGUUUUAAUUCUUAAUAAUUGUGUAAAGCAGAUGUUACGAAUCCAUCUCAUAAAUGCAAAAAUAGGAACUUGGAGAUGCUAAGCUCAAAUUCAAGGCCAUACUAUGGCUAUUUCCAGAGGGGAACUGCAUGUAGACCAACCAUAUUCCUAAGGAGUCAUUACACUUCUUGCCACUGAUGGAUAUUUAGGUUGUGCUUUCAACCAUUACAAACAGCACAUGGGAGAAAUAAAUAGCUGGCAAUUAAUUCAAUGUUUUAAAAAGCAAAAUUAAAAUUAAAAAGCCAUUUUACAAAUCAGUAAUCCUUCAAGUUAGGUGAGGGACCACUUCAUAGUGUGCCAAAAUGAACAACCUUUGAGAAAAAAAAAAAAAAAGUGACCAGAAACACUCAUUUCAACAACAAAAGAAUUUUAAGCUAACUAUUACACCGAUCAGCUUUUUAAAAAAUUUAUAACCAAAGAACUCCAGAGACAAAUUUUCAAGAGUCCUGUGGUUCCCAACAGCAUGUACUUAGCACCCUCACCACUCGGACCAAACACUCUCUAUACAUGGGCUAAAUUUAUUUGAAUCUUGACCUUGCCCAUGCUCUGGAAUUCUCUUUCCACUGCUUAGUAAUGCUUGUUAAUUCUUCAAGGUUCUGACUCUUCUCUCCCAACAGGCUUCCAUUUCCAUCCUGAAGAUGAGAUAAGGGCAAUUUCACUGUUCUCCCACAUCCAAAACACAUAAUAGCCAAUAGGGCAGAUCAAAUGGCCAAGCCAAUAUGGCCUUGGCCAAUCAAAACAGACCCAGCUAUGCAAGAAUACCAGUGCACAACAGCUAAAUACCUAUUGCCACAAAGAUCACGUUAUGUAUAUCUCUUCAAUAGGUACCCACGCUCCUUGAGGACUGAGGCUACUGAUUUUUAAUUUUAUGUCAUAGUGCAUAUUGGCUGUGCUGGAGCCAAAUUAAGACAGCAAAAGCUUGGAAAACUCCUUACCUGUCACACAGUAUGUGGUGAUUCACAGAAACACUAGUCUGAUUACAUGCCUGAUUUCCCUGGGGUGCCAAAAUGUCACGUGCAAGGGUAUGGAGCUUUUUCACAAUUAGUGUUUGAUAUAUGCAGACAUAUAUGGUAAAGGGGUGGAGGUGGGGCGCAGGAGCCAGACUUUACUAAAAGGCUGUGGGGACCUUAACGGUAAAAGCACCAUGUUAGUUCUGUUGGGCAGGGCCUGGCCCCUCAGUGUGGCCUACAUUUGCCAGUAGUUCCAGGUCCAAGUGAGAUGGCUCAGGACUAAUUCCCCAUUCAACAUUCUUCAAACCACUCCAGAAUAUCUACACACUAGAUAGAAGAAAGGUGUUUUAAAAAUAAAAUAAGGAUAUCACCAGGGCCUGAGCUUUUCUCUGUGGGAUUCACCCCUCCCUUCUAACAGGUACUGAUGUGAGAACAGUAGACAUGUCCUUCAGCCUGGGGAGAGAGAGUGUCACCAAAAUUCAAAGUCAGAUACCUAAGUGUUCCAGGAGGGUGUGGGAAUCCCAUUUCUCAAGAUUGUGGAUGGAUAGGACAUCACAGGGAUGUUAUACUAUGUUUCAAUAGCUGCCAUAACAAAUUACCACAAACUUGGUGGCUUAAAACAACACAUAUUUAUGAUCCUACAGUUCUGUAGGCCAGAAGUCUGACAUGAGUCUCACCAUGCUAAAAUCAAGGUGUCAACAGUGCUGUGUCCCUGCUGAAGACUCUAGUAAAUUACCUGUCACUCUGACUUUUCCAGCUUCUAGAGGCCACCCAUGUGCCUUGGAUGGUGGCCCCUUCUAAAGCCAGCAAUGAUGUGUCAAGCCAUUCUUACAUCAUGGUCACUUCAGGACCCCUGUGAUUAUAUUAGGCCCCCCUGGAUAAUCCAGAAUAAUCUCCUUAUUUUAAGGUCACUUGAUUGGGAACCUUAAUUCAAUCUGUAACCCAAAUUCCUUUUUGCCAUGCAACAUAACAUAUUCAUAAGUUCUGGGGGAUUAGAUCGUGGACAUCUUGGUGGGGGGUGGGGGUGGCUAUUAUCCUUUCUACAACACAUGACAAAACACCAUAUUCCCAAAAAGGUAAAAGCAAUACAGCAUGGAGUAGAGAUAUACGGAUGGGCCUUCUCCCAUCAUAGGCUCAGAGUUCAAAGAAGAAAACUCCCCAUUUAGGUGACCUUAUAGAAAACAAAAUGCAUUUAGUCUAUAGCAUACAGUCUACAGUGAGUGAUUCAUGAUUAUAUAAGUUAAAUAACUAACUUCAAAUUAGCUUUGCUUUACUGUCUAAUUUUAUAAGUGGUUCCUUGAGAACCAAAAACUGUAUUAAGAUUUGCCAGUGAGCAAAAUCAUGAGCAGGGAAGCAGUUCCUUGGGUUCAUUAUAGGAUCCUGACCAAGCCACCUUUCUACACUUCAAUUUAUAAUUACCCACUCUUUUUCUAAUCUCCCAGGAAUGUUGCAAAGAGAAAGUAAUUAUAACAAAUAUGGUUGCUUCUAAUUAUAAUAAAAUAUUGAAGUUAAGAUUGAGAAAAAGGCACAAGUAAAUGUUUUUAUAGGGCUCAACUUCCCUUUUCUGUUUUAAAAAACCCAGUUUUCUAUACUUAGGUUUGAAUUUGUUGCAUUAAUUCAAUCCAAACCAACAAGGUUGCCUAGUAGUCAGCUUUGGGCAAUCUCCUUUGCGAACAUUUAACAUGUCAAAUGUUUCUAUAUAAAAUCAACGGUACUUAACAUAAUUCCAGGUCAAAAGAAUGUUGGAUAUUGCUUCUAUUCAUCUUUUCUCUACUAUUGUCAAUAAAAUCUGUGUAUUUGUUUAGUGGAUCUGUUUGGGACCCACUUGUGGUAGAAGUUAGGAAUGUAAAGAUAAAGAAGUUGCAGCUCUUUCCCUCUGCUGUAUGUCAAGAGGUGAAGGUUACCAGAUGUUGUACGUAAAGAAAGGCAGAGCAGGGAGGUUGACAGGUUGUGCAAUAAAAGUUGAUCAUGGACGUGCAGCUGAACAUGAUCAUUUAAGUCACGAUGUGGGCAAACUGUGUGCCACUGGUGGCAGUGCAGAGGCUCAGAGGAAGCGGGGAGAGGCAGACAGGAGAAAGGGGGUGGGGUCAGAGAUGCCUCAGAGGCAAAAAAUCACUGGGGUUAAGAGCAUGAGCUUUCUACUCAAGUAGACCCAGGUUGUUUGAAAUCCUACGUCUGCUAAGUCAUAAUAUCUCUGUACAUCUCAGUGUCCUUUUCUUUUAAAAUAGGAGCCUUAAUAGUAAUUCCUGAUGGAUUUAGUGCAAGGAACAAUGAUAUAAUGCAUGUGUAGUGCUUAACACAGGUGCCUAGCACUGAGCAAAUCUUCAGUGACAAUUGGCUGCCUUUAGAAGACAUGGCCAAUAUAGGGGGAAUAGGAAGAAGGAGAGGGAGAGGAAGAAGAGAAGGAAGGCAAACAGGGCAGGACAAGAGGAAGGGAGGGAAAGGAUAUUCUGGGGCAUAUGUCCUGGAUGAGAGAUAGCUCAUGGUAAGUCACAGGGCUGAGUUUCCUAAGCAAAGCUUCAGGCAUCAGGGAAAAGUAAACCAGGGAGGAAAGAGAGUGCCAGCCUCUCAUAUGGAGACUUGAGUUGAUACUAAGAGGGAAACCAAGACUGCAUCCACUUAAAGCUCUAAAACAAAUCCAGCUACAAAAUGCCAGGGAGAGCAGUGACCUGGAAGAACCUCAACACACCUGGAAGCCCCAGGCAGAUCCCAAAUAGUCAUCAAGGGAAAUUUGAGGGAAACUCAUAAACCCAGGGUGUCUCCUAGAGCACAAACUCUUCAACCGAGAGAAAGGCAACCUGAGAGAUGGCGAAUGCUUAAAUAUUUUGCCUGUAUUGUGCCCUUUGGUUUGGGAAUCCGAGUGAGACUCACUUUGCAGGGAACAAUCACAGGGAAAUGGUAAUAACAGUCCUAGGAAAAUGAGAUUUCACCUCAAGGAGCUCACAAUAGAAUGUGGAAAAGAUGAACAUGCAAACAAAACUAUCUACAGUGUAGCCAACCAUAAGACAAGCAUAUACCAAGUGUCUGAGGGAAGAGCAUGAUCAGUUCUGUCUAGGGGAGACAGGGAAGGCUUUCCAGAGUAUCAAACUCUGGGGGCGCCUGGGCAGCUCAGUUGGUUAAGCGACCGACUCUUGAUUUUGGCUCAGGUCAGAUCUCCUGGUUCCUGAGAUCAAGCCCCACAUCCGGCUCCUCAUUGACAGCACAGAGCCUGCUUGGGAUUCUCCCUUUCUCUCCUUCCGCUGCCCCUCCCCCUGCUCUCACACUCUCACAAAAUAAAUAAAUGAACUUAAAAAAGAGUGUCAAACUGGCGUCAGACUUCAGAGGAUAAAUUCACCAGGAGAGCAGAGGGAAGGGACAUUCUGAGCAGGGGGACAGCAUACAAAGUCAUGCAGAUCUGAAAGUGGACGGCAACUUUAGGACACCAGAUGUAGUGGUUAUAACAUCAAGGGUAUAUGGAUCAAUAGUGAAGGGAAGGAAAGCAAUGGAGAUGGGAAUGAAAGGAAAGCCUUGGUAGUUUCGUGAUGUGUUUCCACGUGUCAUGUGUAUCAAUAAAUCAGUUUUUAUUGCUUUUUAUUGUUCAGUGUGUAAUAGGUCACAGUAAUUAUACGAUCUUAUAUAUAUUUAUAUAUUAAUUUACUGUUUACAGAGUAUGUCCUUCUUAUUUAAUUCUCACAGCAGAACAGGAAGAUAGGUUUUGUCAUCUUUGGUUUUGCAAAUGAGGACAAAGUCUCAAAGGAUGUUAAGUUGUAUGCCUGGGGUUGCCGCGCUUUGACUGAAACCAGCUGCCUUGGUAUUCAUUCAUAUUCAGCAAACAUGUACUGAGUUCCUACUCUACUGCCAAAUGCUCUGAUAGAUGCUGGGAAUACAAAGAAUGCUCAAAUGAAUACACAGAAAGAAGGGAGAAACUAGUACAUAAACAAUGAAUUAAAAUAUAAUGAAGUAAAAAUUACUAUAAGGAUGCGCAUGAGAUUGUUACCCAGAAUAUGCACAGAGGGGCACAGGAGGAGCUGCCCGGAACAGGUGCCUCCUGAGCUGUUGAGUAGGUGUGUAGGGGGUGGAAGAGAUAAAGGCUGUUCCAGGCAUGAGAACUGCAUGUGCAAAGACACAGGAACCCUAGAGAGGAUUACAUGAAACCAAACCAGGAAACGUUCAGGGAGGAUUGCCUUAGGUUGCAGAUGAAAGACAGAGGAGCCAGAUCAAAAACAGUCCUUGCAAGUCUAUGCUCAGGGGUGUGAAUUUUCAUGCUGUAAAUGUCUAGGAUCCACUGGAGGGUUUUAAUUGUGUGAGCGACAAGAUCGGAUUUGUUAUUCAAAAAGCACACUCCGGCAGCAGUUCAGUGGGUGGAAUGGAAAGUGGUUACCCUGGGGACGAGCAGACCCAUUAGGAAGCUGUGACAAUCAUCCAGGAGAGAGAAAAUGAGGAUAGUAGUUGGAGGAAUGAGCAGAUUCAAAGACAUUUUGGAAGCAGAACUGAUGGUCAGGAGAGAUUCACUGGAUACAAACACUGAACAAAAGGAACAAUCAAGAAUGACGGUCAGAUUUCUGGCUUGGACAUCUAGGUGAAUAGUAAAUCAUUAAUCAAGAUGUAGCAUACUAAAGAAGUAGCAGAUUUGCAGAAUAUUAUGCGUACAUAUGGAAUGAGCUGAAUUUGAGGUGCCUCUGGGACUCCCAGGUGAAUAUACCAUAUGUGGUUAAUACAUUUAGAAUUCAGAAGAGAGAUUAUAUCUAAAGAUUUAAGAGUAAUUGUGAAAUACUCUGUUGUUGAAGUUUUGACAACCUCCAAAGCUACAAGAUCUGGGUACCAUUGCUUCUACCCAAUUCAUUUGCACCAUCUCUGAAGGAGGUACUAGCUCAAGCUUUGUUCCAAAGUACAAAUUAGCAUAGCAGCUCAGUAAACAAUGUCUCUGAGCUUCUGGAAAGAAAGAUGUUCAGUCACCAUAAGGCUCAGAAUUAAUGAAAAGUCACAGAAAUAAUAGCUCUAUUCUCCAGUUGCUUUUGAACCUCAAAUCACUCUUUGGCAACAAGGUAAGAAUUUACAGAAACUGCUGAAAAGAUCUUCUGGUAAAUAGAGCAGCGAAAAGAGUUUGUUUGUAAUAUUUGUUCUAAACAAUAUAUGUGGUUAAAUUUUGAAAUUGCUAGUUCACAUUCCUGACCUGAAUUCCUUUUCUAAUUGGAAAGUCAAUUUUGAUUUUGAUUGUAGGGUAUAAUUCCUUUAGAAAAAUCUCCUGUGAAGUUAGUUCCUUCUCAUUAUGUUUUUUUUUUAACCAGAUAAAAUUACAAGAAUUAAAUGAUAUGUGCUAUGUAAUGAAUGCAGUUUGCCUAUGCUUUAAUGAGAAAACAGUUCCUGGAGGGAAAAUAUUUUUGCUCAGUUAUGGGCAAACACCGACAACAUCAAUUGAAAACCCAAUGAAAACUGUUACUUCUUUCAGGUUGGAUAGAAAUGACCAUAAUGUAAGGCCAGAGCAUUAUUGUUAUUAAUGCUUGGAAAAACACUAAUAAUCAAUAAUUCAUCUCCUAAUUGUGAUAGAUAUGAAACAAUCAAUCCCAUUGUUUUUCCUUUCCCAUCCCCAUACUUCCUAGUUGGGUCACAGUGGGAAGAGGAAGGGAUUCAUUUGUCACAGUAUAUGUUUUGUCACCAGCGUGAAUAUCAAACCUCUCUGUAGUGUUUGAGAGAAAGGAAGGAAACUAAACGGGGGCUUGGCAUAUUUAAUCUUCUCAAAGUUUUCAAGUAAAUCUGUUCUACGAAUACACAGAGCUAAUAAAUUUAAGACCAUUGAAACAAUAAUACAAAACUAUUCAGGAAUAAUUAUGACAUGAUAAAUGUUCCAUAAGUAUUUGAUAGUAUUAUUACUAAUUAGAUCUCCAUUUUUUACCUGAGGAACCUCAUACUCAGGGAGGUUAAAUAUUUAUCCAAAGUGAUAUAGCUAGUAAGGGAUGGGUUCUGAUUUGGAAGCCAGGUUUCCUGGCCUCCAGAACUUAUGCCUUUUCCAUUAUUCUAUACUGCCACUUAGUGACAAGUACAUUUAGUCCCUAUUGAAAAUAAUACUCCCUUAUCGUCUAUUCUCACGGAGAUACUCCUGAAGUUGGUAGAUGAAAAAAACUUGACUUCUAACCCUUGAGAGCUGAUUUCAAAUAAUCUUUCAACUUACCUGUGCCCUAAUGUUCUCAUUUGGAAAUGAGAGAUGUCAUUACUGCCCUUCUUUAUCAAUACACUAUGCAGGAUAGUAUAUUACAGUUUCUAUAUUGUAGCAUCCAUAUACCUUAUCUCAUUUGGUUUUAAAACAGAGCUAAUAAAAACUAACAGAAAGCACGUGGAAUUUCCAGUUUCACUAAGUGAAUACAAUUCUUUGAGGGUCAGUUUUUUCACUUACAAAACUAGAGGUGAAUUCUCUCGGGGUCUUUUAACAUUCUUAUAAAAUGAUGUUGCAUAGGGAUUAUUCCUAAGUUUAGAUGUAGAAAAAGCUCAGAGAAGAUCAAUGAUUUCCCCUAAGAAUGUUCAACAAAUAAAUUAUGAAAUCCUAGGACCUGGGUUUUUGACUCCUAAUGUAAGUCCCUUUCUACUCCAUUGAACUACAUAUUUAUUCUGAUAGGCAAAGAAACCAUAAUGAUGCUUGAUAUGAGUGAUAAUUUGACUCAUCAGAUGAUUGUUUUUGCUUUUAGGUAGAUUGAUAAACUUCAAGGUAAUUAGCAUCUAUAGUUGCUAAGCUGAGAUCUGAGUGACAUUGGUGACCUGCCAAAAGAAACAGUUGGCACCAGACUUUGUGAGUUGCCUUUCAUCAGCAAGCUUCACUUUAAAACACUGAAGUCCACCCUGCCUGUACCUGAAUUUCCCUCUUGAAACAAGUAACUAGUGCCAUCUUUCUCUUGAAUUGGCUGGCACUGCUGUGAUAUCAGUUAUCACGUGAUAUUCCAAAAGGCAAUUGUGAUCUCUGGCAUCAACGCGUUGGCAAUCCACUUGGAGAAAAUGCAGUUUGAUGUUAAGCACCUGGCAGUUUUUAUCGUAGCUGGAAUGAACAGAGGGUCCUUAAGGCACCCGGAAUACCACUGAGUACUCUGUAAUGCUACUCAAUGUCGAAACUAGGUGAGAAGUCCCAAAACCUCAGGUUUGACAAAAGCAGAGUUUCAAUUAUCAAAGCUGGCUAGAAUUCGGGAAUCAUCCAAAUUAACCACUAUAUUUUAUAAAUGAAGAAAUCUGUCACCACUUGUCUGGACAAAGAAAAAAGGGAUUGGAGCUAGAGUCUUCACUGGCUAAUUUGUUCUGGGAACCAUAGAAGUUAAACGGAUGCUGGACAGACACCAACUAUACGAGAGACAUCAUGCAUUUUCUAAAUAUGUUGGUGUUCCUCCAUAUAAAUCCAGACUAUUUUGGUAUUGCUUCAUAAGCAAGUAUUCCAACUUAGAAAUGUUGAAAACCAAUAGAGAAGUAACAGAAUGCAGCAGCUCCUCCUUUCCUUUCUUCCUCUCACUAUGUCUGCAUCAGGUACUUCUCUGAUACAGUCUUCACACUGUCAUAAUUGACUAUGACCUUCCAAAAAAAAGUCAACAAAGCAACUCACAGCCUACCUGCUGUAGUCUGUGUAUAAUUCACAUGCUGAAAUCCUACUCCCCAAUGUGAUGAUAUCAGGAGGUGGGGCUUUGGGGAGGUAAGAAUGAAGCCCUAAUGAAUGGAAUUAGUGCCCUAACAGAAGAGAAGCCCGAGAGCUCCCUCAUCCCUUCUUCCAUGUGAGCACAAAGAGAGAAGACGGCCAUCUAUUUGAGCAAGGAAGUGGGCUCUCACCAGACACCAAAUCUGCCGGUGCCUUGAUUUUGGACUUGCCAGCCUCCAGAACUGUGAGGAAUAAAUUUCUGCUGUGUAAGCCACAUGCUCUAUGGAAUUUGUUAUAGCAUCCUGAGUGGACUAAGACACUAUCCAGGUUUUUCUGAUAAUGUUUUCUCCCCUCUUUCCACCCUGACAGUACAUCUUUCUCAGUUGCCCUGUGUCACUCUCACCAGGCUGCUUUUGACUUAAAUAAUGGCAAGAGUGCAAGGGCUUUUGGGACAAUUAAUAUAUUCUCUAUUGGAUCUGUUUCAAAGACAGAAUAGCAAUUGUCUUAGAGAACAAAAUGGCACAAUCAUCAAAGUUAUGCAGUGGAGGCUUUUCUAUCUCCAGCUCAGAAGCCUUCCCUGCCCAGCUACACUUAGUCACCCUGGAUGCACGCUGCUCCCACAGUGGUCUUCCACUCACAGCUCCAACUGGAUGAAAGAUGAUGGGAAGGGACAUUGCUGGUCCAGGGAGUGACUCUUCCAGAGUGAAGAAAAAGAAAGUGGUUCUGAGAGCAUUACCUAAGAAAGAUCUAAAGCUGUUUGGUAUGGCCAGAAGAAUAUGAUUUUCCUGAGUGACCUGUUGAACCAGUCUUAUUACUCUGUAGUCUCAAUAUAUACAGCUGGAACAUAAUUCCUCUCCCAGUACCAGGACAAGUGGGUGGACUGUCUAACUCUCUAUCCCUCCUUCUACUCUUCAAACUGCAAGAUACUAUUUUGUGUGUCUUUUCUUUUUUGAAGGCUGCCCUUGGUGCUCAGCAUAACCUGAGCUCACCUGGAUAAAGGCAUGGUUUAGGAGAGGGUACUCGGAGAAACAGUGCCCUGGGUCCAGAGCUUCCAGGACAGGGCCAGGCGGCAAAGCUUAAUAAGGAAAGACUCAUCUGAUAUAAAUAAUUUAAGAGACAGAAUUCACAGUGGCCUGAAUAGAAAGUGAAAAUGCAAGCAUGCUGCUUCUCAUGGACGGCAAAAAACACUGGCAUGAAAAGUCUUGUUUUCUGGUUAAUGAAUUAAAGAAAUAAUCACAAAUGGGAUAUAGAUCCAAGUGACCACAUCAUGAUUCACUCAUUUGUCCAUGAUGAAUAAAUUACCUGUUUUAUGACUGAGCCAUUCCCCAAUGUGACAUUAAAGUACCAAAAAUUGUUAGGGAUUGUUCUUUCUAGAGAAAGAUGAUGCUACUGAGCCACCAACAAUGCUCAAUGUUUUCAGCAGUGAGAAAAGAUUUGCAACAUAACAGAUGAGAACUAUUUGUAUGUGCUGAUCUAUAUUUAUGAAUCAGAGAACAUCCCAGGGGAGUUUUAGCUUCACUAGUAGCGGUUUUCAAUCCUCAUCUCUACCACAGGAAUUCCCAUACUGUUACACACAAGAAGGAAUACACAGGUUUGAUGAAACUCAAAAAUAACUAGUGUUUGAUGCUUCCUCUCCCAUCUUUAAAAAAAAAAGCCAUUUUUGCCAUGGCAAUCCUUUAAAAAAAGAAUUACAAUUGCGUUAGAGAUAAAAUCAGAUAUUGAAAUAGCACACACACACAUACAUACAACCUAUUGUAUCAAGAUACACAAAGAAAAGGGAAAUAUUAUGACUAAUUUUUAAACUAAAUAUUUUCAAAAAGAUUCUCAAUAUCUCUAGAUUGCCAUUCUCUAGGUAAUAAUAAACUGAACAAAUACGUGGUAUGACAGCAGCAGAAGUGAAAUGCAUUUUACCAGUAAAAUUUUACCUGGGGUGAGGUGGGGGGAGUAAACUGAUGUGUCUAAGAGGAAGUAUCUUGUGUCUCAUCCGCCAUAAAGGAUAACUACAAAAUCUCUAUCUAAAAGAAAAAAAGAGAAAAAAACAAAAACAAAAACACUAAACGUUACAAAUGGAAACCAGUGAAGCCAGGACUUAAAGUUUCUAGAUCCUGAAUCCUUGAAGAUUGAGUCUUGAUUGCAGAGAGAAGGGAAAUACUUUGAGGUGAGCCCCACAAGCCCUCGGGGAGUAGGCUGGGUUUUGGCACAGAGCAUGGAAGCAAAACAGAAAACAGUGGCAUAGGGUUUAUAGUGCUCUCACUGCACUGUAGAGAUAAAAAUCAAAGUUUUAAUUGAGGAAAUUGGAAAAUCUUUGGAAAUGAGUGACAUGUGUGCAAUGUAGGAAGAGUAGUGCUUAAAGAGGAAAUUUUAAAGCCUUAAAUACAUCCACUAGAAGAGGGAGAAAAAAGCUAAAAAUCACACAUGUUAAAAUAUAGUAAAAGGAGAUCAUGAACAACUUUAUAUUAAUUAACUUCAUACAUUAAAUUCCUUGAAAAAAGCAUUACUUACCAAAAUUGAUACAAAUAAAUAAAAAAUCUGAAUGAUGCCAUUAUCUAUGAAAGAGAUUGAUUUCAAAAUUAAAAACCUUCACACAAAGAAAACUUUGGGCCCAGAUGCUUCAAAAGAGAAUUAUUCUCAAUACUUAAGGAAAACAUUAUUUCAAUCCUGCACAGGCUUUUUAAUAGUCUACAUAGAGGGAGUAUAUUUCCCAUCUCAUGUUAUAAGACCACUGUAAUCCUGACAGCAAAACCUGGCAAAGACAUAAAAAAAGGAAAAUUACCCAUCUUUCUUGUGAAUAGAGACACAAACAUACUAAAGAAUAUCAAAUUAAACCUAACAGUAUGGGAAAACAUAAUAUAAUUGGAAUUAAACUAAGAGUGGGAAGUUGAUUUAUCACUCAACAAUCAAUCAUUGUCAUCCACUACACUGACAGAAAUAAGAGUAAUCAUGUAGCCCUUUUAAUAAAUUCAAAUGAAUAAAUAAAAACAUUUACAACCAUUCAUGACUGAGACAAAACAAAAUAAAUGCCUCUUAGCAAAACAGAAGUAGGAGGAAAUUUCUUUAUAUGAUAGAGAGUAUCUUCAAAGAAAACUUAUAGUAAAUAUUAAGCUUGAUGAAACUCUGAAAAAUUUCUUUCUGAGAUAAAGUUAUCUUAAGAAAUAAGGAGAACCCCAUUGCCAUUGCCACUUAAGAGUUUCUUGGAAGUCCUGCCAAUGCAAUAAGGCAAGAAAAAUAAAUAAAAUAUAUAUGCAUUGAAGACAAGACAUGAGAAUGUACAUAGAAAAUCCAAAAGAUAAACAUUUAGAAUCAAUAAGUGAAUUUAUCGAAGUCAGUACAUACAAAAUACACAAAAAUAAAUUAUACUCAUAAAAUACCAAUAAAUUAGAAAAUAAAAUUAAAAAUGAUACAAUGUUAUUUAUAAUAUAUCAAAAAAUUAAACACAUAGGAUUAUAUCUAACCAUAGUGUGUAAGAGAGAAAACUAUAAAAUAUUAUUGAAAGAAAUUUAAAAAGAUCUAGAUCUAUGUCAUACAUACUAUGUCCAUGAAUUAGACAAUAGUAUCAGAAAAGUCAUUUCUGAGUUUGAUCUCCUGCACUCCUAGUUAAAAUCUCAACAGGUAUUUUUGUGGAGUUUGAGAAGUUGAUUUAAAUCAAUGUGGAAAUGUUAAAGACCAAGAAUAGCCAUGAUGACCUUGAAGAAAAGUUAAGUUGGGAGACCUACAACAUCAAAUAAAGAAAUUAAAAUUUAUAGCUAUUGUAAUUAAAUUUAUUAUUCAUUAAAGGAUAGACAAUAAAUGUAUUGAACAAACAUUCCAGAAAUAGUCCAGAAACAAACCCAUAUACACAAAUACUGCACUGAUGAGUAAGGGUUGUCAAAUGAUAGUUUCUUUUGCUUUUCUUCUUCCCAAUAAGUGAUAUUGUGUGAACUGGAAAACAAAUAAAAAUAAACCUUGAAUCCCACCUCACUAUCUUAUAUCAUAAAUAAAAAUGAAUUCCAGAUGGAAUAGAUUUCAAUAGGAAAAGUCAAACAAUACGUUUUCUGGAAAAUAAUGUAAGAGAAAAUAUACAUGAGCUUAGAAUAGGCAAAGACCUUUUAAACAGGACACAAAAAUGCUACCCAUAAGAAAAUGAUAGAUAAGUUGGACUUCAUUAAAUUACUAACUGAAACAGCCCCUCCCAUGUUUUAGAAGAAGGUAGAAUAUCCAACUUUUAAAAAUCAUAACAUUAAAAAAAUUUAAGAAACCAACAUAUGGGUAAAUUAACAAUAUCUAAUUAGCAAAAAUCUUGUCUAAAAAAAAAUUAAAACCUUAACCAUUUCAAUAACAUGUAUUCCCUCAAUAGAGAUGCAAGAGAUAAUUACUUGGCUAUAAGUCAGUUAAUACUGAAUCACAUGAUGUAGUAGUAGGCAAAGAAUUAAGUGUGUUCCACAGAAUGCAUUUUAAAAUUCAAAGGUGGUUUAAAAGGGUAAAGUUAAUCAAAAUGUCUGUGAACACCUGGCUUCCUUCUUUUUAGUUAGGCUUUUCUGAAGCACAGUUUUGACAGCAUCAUAAAAGUAGAAAUGAAAGACCAUCAGGGAGAAAGCAAGUGAGUGUAUGAGACAUGGACAGAGGUUCCACCUCAGAGAACUAAGGCUGGAAGGAUGUAUUCAGUAGUUAUAAUAGAAGUUUGACUUAGAGCUCGAUCUCCUAUCAUGACCUAUAGCUAAUAGAUUAUGUUAUUAAACCUGUUGGGAGUGGGGAGACCUAAUUCAAGAAUAAGAAUAGAAUAAGAAUAAUACCCUGCCAUCCAGAGGUAUGAGAUUCAAGUCCAUAAAUAUAAAUAAAUUAGCUUCAAAAGUAAGACUGCUUAAUUUUUAAAAAGAAAACAACCAAAAAACAAACAAAAUACCAAAAACUCUCCAAAGGCUUCAUGUCCUACCAUUAUAAAGUAACAAGACUGAGCUCCAAAACGUUGGGUCUGGCCAGCAGGACUGGCUACAUAACUUGUGAUGCCCAUUGCAAAAUGAAAAUGCAGGGUUCCUUGUUCAAAAAUUCUUAAAAUUUUUAACACUCAGCAACAGCAAAGCUUUAAACCAAGUACAGGGCCCUGCUGGGCGCUAGGCCCUGAGUGACUGCCCCAUGCAGUUGACCCUGUCAGCCAGCAAAGACUGGCCACAAAAAUCUAGGUUUUCGUCCACAUUUUCCUACAAGGAAAACCACACCAUCAGCAGUGUUGUCUGUGACAAAGUGUGAAGUUUUGGAUUUGAUGUGCUUGUCUUAGGUUAAACAGGGGAUAGUAUCCUUAUGCUGAGUCUUCUGUGCUUUUAUUCUGAAACAGAUAGUUUGCCCAUUCAAGGCUGUGAUCAUCAGAAUACAUCCCCAUUUCUGUCUCCAGUCUUGUGUUCCUUACACUGCCCAGAAAGAAAGCAUUGUGUGUGUGGUGGUUUUUUUCAUGCCCCAGUAAGCUUUCAAAUUAGGCCAAUCAGAAAUGAUACAUGCGCACAUAAUAUCUAGCUUGCUUUAAUCUAUCAAUUAAUAUAGAGAGACUAUUUAGAAUAUUUAAUACAAAGAACAAAAGAAUGCCAUUACAUGAAAAGUGUAAGAACCAGUUUCAAUUGUGUGCUAUUCCAUUCUGCUUUAUCCAGCCACUUUAUCUGCAUGGAUUCCUUCCAAGAGAUAAAUCUUUCAAACAGGACUUUUUUUUUUUCUUUUUUUUUGUGAGUUAUAGCUCAUGUCCUGUCAGGUUGUGUAUCAAAACUGCAGGUGAAUUUUCACCUCUUGAUUCUGCUAAACUGUAAAAGGGCUCACAAGGCAAGAAAUCUUAGAUCUUUUAUUCAUUCUAGGCACUGAAAAAUGGUAAAAAUAUUUUUUCCUGCUAAAUACAGAAUAUGUGUCUCCUGAUAUACGGCAGGAGCACUAAAAAUAGGACCAAGUACACAUCUUUGUUUCAUCCAAAGGACAUAAAAUAUACAUUUAAAGUUACAACUCAGGGUAUAGUUUGCUAUUUCUUACCAUUAAGAAACACAUUUCCAAAAUCAAUAUCUAUUCCUAUUUAGGUUUCUUGGAAGGGAAGAAUGAAAUUGAAUAUGAGAAAAUGUGACUGGUAAUGAACAGUAAGAAAGGGAUAUUUAUACUUUAUCUUCUGUAGUCCAUCCUGUGAAAUAAGAAUGAAGCCAGGGGACCGAUGAUAACAAUCACAUGCUUUUAUGAGCUAGGGAACCACCAUCUCAGAUGGUAGAAACCACUAAGGAAGAGUGCUGACAGCAGCUAACAGAAGCAGAGCACCCUAAUGCAUAAUUUAAGGAUAGCUUGUUACAAGAGGAACUUUAGCAAAUGUGUACAAGGUGAAGAGUUAGUGCUAUGUAAUGUAAAAUUAGUAUCUGCCUUAGUUGGGGUUUCAAAGAGAGCAGAGAGAGGCAUUUAGCAAACUCCUUAUAGUUUGGAUGAUUCUAUCUCUUAUUGCCAUCUUUGAAAUUGUUUUCACAUUGGAUAUUCCUAUCUUACAUACCUUUUGUUGUUGUUGGUUUUUGUUUUCCUCAAGAUUUUAUUUAAGUUCAAAUUAGCUAACGUAUAGUAUAGUAUUUGGUUUCAGGAGUAGAAUUUGUGCUUACAUAUAACACCCAGUGCUCAUCACAACAAGUGCCCUCCUUAAUACACAUCACCUAGAUAGCCCAUCCCCCACCCACCUCCCUUCCAGCAACCAUCAAUUUGUUCUCUAUAGUUGAGAGUCUCUUAUGGUUUGCCUCCCUCUCUGUUUUUAUCUUAUCUAUUUUUCCUUCCCUUCCUCCAUGUUCAUCUGUUUUGUUUCUUAAAUUCCACAUAUGAGUGAAAUCAUAUGGUAUUUGUCUUUCUCUGACUGACUCAUUUUGCUUAGCAUAAUACACUCUAGUUCCAGUUACGUCAUUGCAAAUGGCAAUAUUUCAUUCUUUUUGAUGGCUGAGUAAUAUUCCAUUGUAUGUAUGUAUGUGUAUAUGUAUAUGUAUGUGUGUAUAUGUAUAUGUGUAUAUGUAUGUAUGUGUGUACACACACACACACACACACACACACACACACACACACACCAGAGCUUCUUUAUCCAUUCAUCAGUUGAUGGACAUUUGGGCUUUUUCCAUAAUUUGGCUAUUGUUGAUAAUGGUAUUACAAAUAUUGGGGUGCACAUGCUCUUCAUAUUUUUUAUACUUUGGAUAGAUACCUAGUACUAUUGCUGGGUCAUAGGGUAGUUAUACUUUUAGCUUUUUGAGGAAGCUCUAUACUGCUUUCCAGAGUGGCUGCACCAGUUUGCAUUCCCAACAACAGUGCAAGAGGGUUCCCUUCCUCUGCAUCCUUACCAACAUCUGUUGUUUCCUGAGUUGUUAAUUUUAGCCGUUCUGACAGGUUACACACUUUUCUUCCAUGCAAUUUGAGUUAAGAAAAUAAAAGCUUAUCUCUACAGGUUUGGGGACCUUCUACUGCAUCUUAAGAGUCAUUUUCAAUUACUGUUUCUUUAACCGACUCUUCCCUUGUGCCCAUCUUCUUGGUCUUUCAUCUGGAACAUGUUAAUGACUUGACUGCUCUGGCUCCAGCCUUCUUUCCUUCUGAUCCAUCACUCAAAAAACUUCUAAUUUCUCAUUUCAAAAUAUUUCGGGGCACCUGGGUGGCUCAAUCGAUUAAGCGUCUGACUUUGGCUCAGGUCACGGUCUCAUAGUCUGUGAGUUCAAGCCCCGUGUCAGGCUCUCUGCUGGUGGCUCAGAGCCUGGAGCCUGCUUCAGAUUCUGGGUCUCCCUCGCUCUCUGUCCCUCCCCCACUCACACUCUCUCUCUCUCUCUAAAAUAAAUAAACAUUUAAUGUUUUUUUCAAAAUGCAUAUUUCAUCAUGCCACUCUCUCUUGGCUUACAGGAUAAAAUCUUGACUCCCCUAUAGAUUCAGAGUCCAAGGAGCCACAGUGGGGGAGGAAGUCUUAGCCAAAUCCAUGUACAUUUAAUUCCCUAUGCAACCCUGGUGCACCAAAGGCUAACCUCAGUGCUCACUGAUAGUCAAAAUUAUAUUGUCUUGCCUUAGAUUUAGAGGCUUUUGGCUAUACACUCUAACCUUUAGAGAUUGCUCAGUGUUUCUUGAUCAUACCUGGCUCACGACCACCCAUGUUCUAUUCCAAGGGAACACACUUCCCAGGAAAAAAGAUUCUAAGCUGAGCCAAGGACACACUUCCAGGGAGUUUUAAGAUGAAUACCAGGGUGGUCCUCAGGGAAACGAGAUAAAACAGACACUUGGACUAGUUCAAAUUCUAGGUAUAAACCAAGGGGCAAAACAGAAGUGCAAAGGUUCACAUGUGGUCCAGACCAGACCAGCAGGUUCAGGAUUUCGCUGUGAUUUGUAGUUAAAGCCCAUACAAGUCAACUGUGUGUUUGACUGAAGGGUUCCUUCUGCAUAUACCACUGGGAAUCUAGCACAGAUUCCCGUUGAUGAAUUUGGACAUUCAGAAUCUGUGCAUAUCUAACAAGGUCCACUAGCAAGGACUAUCUAUAUCACAUCAGCCUGUAGUAGGGGAUUUGAACCAUUUCCCCUAAUUACACCAAAUGAAUUUAGUGAACAACAGAAGGGUACAACUUAAGAUGAGAAAUCACAUUACCCACAACUGAAUUUUAUAAGUUUUUUUUCAAAAUCAUAUAUUUAAUAUGGUACUCAUGUUAAGGCUGAGCAGAGGAUAUUGAAUCUCUGAAAGAUCUUAGCAAAUUAUGUAAACAUCACUUUAUUUGCAGUGUAGAGCCAACUUUUCCUAUUAAUGAAAGAUUUCUUUACCAAAUUCCCAUAAUAAAGCUGUUUAUGGUAUUUUCUAAAUGAACUGAGUUACAUCAGUCCUCAAUGCAACACUGUCGCCUUAUAGCUUUAGGGGAUUUUUCAUAUUCCACAAGGGAUUUUAUUUAAGAACUAGUCUUUUAACAAUUAUGUCUUUCUUAAUAUUUUAACAACUUUACAGACCUCUUGGGGUGUCGUGUUACACUGAAGCCUCUUGAAGCUUCACAAAAAUGGAUAUAAAAACUCUCAGAACUAUUCCCAGAACCAGAUUAAUCCUUCAUGGGAGACACUUCGAUCAUGUGACCACACAAAACAUCAUUUUCUUAGUAGCACAUUAGGAUUUCUGUAUAAAUCAAUGUCUUCUUUUGUCUUCCUUUUUUUAGAUGGAAGAAACUUAAAAUGAAAAAAAAGAAGAAAAGAAAAAGCCCCACCUGUAGCCCUUGGUAGCAAUUUAAUAGCUGACAAGAAGAGGGCUUCAUGACCACAGAGAUACUAGUUUUGACAUGAAAAUACUCCGUCAGAAUGCGAACUCUGGUCCAAUACAUGAACAGAUACCGUUUCCCCUGACGAUUUUUGGCGAGACUUCACAAGGAACCUGUUUUCAGCAUUUCAGUCACCUAAAACUGAACAAAAAGCUAAUGCAGUUGAGGCACCAGAGUUCACAGGGCUGACAAAUGGAUAAAAUGUUCCUUUGCUAGAUUAAAAAAAAGCUUUAAAACUG